GUAGUUAGCCGGGGCUUCCUCCUUGAGUACCGUCACUUCCUUCUUCCUCAAGGACAGAGGUUUACAAUCCGAGAACCUUCUUCCCUCACGCGGCGUUGCUGGGUCAGGCUUUCGCCCAUUGCCCAAUAUUCCCCACUGCUGCCUCCCGUAGGAGUCUGGGCCGUGUCUCAGUCCCAGUGUGGCCGAUCACCCUCUCAGGUCGGCUACCCAUCGUUGACUUGGUGGGCCGUUACCUCACCAACUAUCUAAUGGGACGCGAGCUCACCCCUCACCGGAUUUCUCCUUUGACCCCUUCGUCAUGUGACGUUGUGGUCUUAUGCGGUAUUAGCACCUGUUUCCAAGUGUUAUCCCCCUGUGAAGGACAGAUUGCUCACGCGUUACUCACCCGUCCGCCGCUAAAACCAGAAACCGAAGUCUCUGUCUCCGCUCGACUUGCAUGUGUUAGGCACGCCGCCAGCGUUCGUCCUAAGCCAGGAUCAAACUCUGA
rnacentral:rRNA from 1 species